ACAUUACUAGUAUAAGAAUAAUUAUACUACUUUUCCAAAGUAGUGAUCUAGAUUUUAGGUGAUGUA
rnacentral:tRNA from 1 species